GACGAACGCUGGCGGCGUGCCUAAUACAUGCAAGUCGAACGCAGUGGGGCCGGGUGAGUAACACGUGGGUAACCUCCCAUCAGAGGGGAUAACCCUUGGCAACAGGUGCUAAACCGAUACUGAUGGAUGAACCCGCGGGGCAUUAGCGAGUUGGUGAGGUAACGGCUCACCAAGGCCACGAUGCAUAGCGGGCCUGAGAGGGUGACCGGCAACACGGGGACGGAGACACGGCCCAGACUCCUACGGGAGGCAGCAGUGGGGAAGAUUGGGCAAUGGGCGAAAGUCUGACCGAGCAACGCCGCGUGAGUGAAGAAGGUUUUCGGAUCGUAAAGCACUUUUAGUAGGGAGGCGGUAUUUAACGAGAAAGCAACGGCUAACUCCGUGCCAGCCGCCGCGGUAAUAC
rnacentral:rRNA from 1 species